CUUCAGUGAACAUUCAACGCUGUCGGUGAGUUUGGAAUUAAAGUAGAAACCAUCGACCGUUGAUUGUACCCUGCGG
rnacentral:pre_miRNA from 13 species